rnacentral:rRNA from 1 species
GAUGAACGCUGGCGGCGUGCCAAAUACAUGCAAGUCGAGCGAACAGACGAGGAGCUUGCUCCUCUGACGUUAGCGGCGGACGGGUGAGUAACACGUGGAUAACCUACCUAUAAGACUGGGAUAACUUCGGGAAACCGGAGCUAAUACCGGAUAAUAUAUUGAACCGCAUGGUUCAAUAGUGAAAGACGGUUUUGCUGUCACUUAUAGAUGGAUCCGCGCCGCAUUAGCUAGUUGGUAAGGUAACGGCUUACCAAGGCAACGAUGCGUAGCCGACCUGAGAGGGUGAUCGGCCACACUGGAACUGAGACACGGUCCAGACUCCUACGGGAGGCAGCAGUAGGGAAUCUUCCGCAAAGGGCGAAAGCCUGACGGAGCAACGCCGCGUGAGUGAUGAAGGUCUUCGGAUCGUAAAACUCUGUUAUUAGGGAAGAACAAAUGUGUAAGUAACUAUGCACGUCUUGACGGUACCUAAUCAGAAAGCCACGGCUAACUACGUG